GCUUGUGAUUCAUGUAGCAAUACAUAGUGAUUGAACAAAUAAAAAGCAACUUUACAGCGUUGAUCUCGCCACCAUUCAUCAAACUUGUGAAACUAGCUGAUUCGCAACGCAAGGAUGCAUUUGCAUCAAAUCAAAUGCUUAGAGGUUGCGGCGCACUUAGUUAAUAGCUCUUUUGGAAUGACGGAGCCCAAGUAGAUGAUCCAUCAACUGCUCUUACAAUUUUUAAAUGGUCUCCGACUCCCGAGAUACGACUGACGGCGAUGUCAACUACCGUCGAUGGAAUGGCUAUGAAGUUGGAACUCUUUGGGAAAAUCCAUACAAAUUGCUCAAGGGCAACCUGUCUCAGAACCUCGAGAUAGAUGAGUGUGGCCAUUGGAGUGACUUUUACCGAUGUGGCUGCGACGUUGUCGCAAAGGAGAUUGGAACGUUGGCUCGCUGUAUAUUGUCAAAUUUUCUGCAGCACGACGACAUGUGAACGACUAUUUAGUGAGUUGGCAUUGAUCCAGACCGUCAAGCGAAAACUGCUGUACUCGACGAAAGCCAGGAAACGUGUGGUCGUCUGUUGAAAAGUUCAAUUCAAAGACGGGUUAGAGGCCAAGGUCAAGGAAGCAAUCCUUGAAUGUACAACAAGUUUUGCUACUGCACGAGCUUGAGAUAACAUCAAGAGUUGCACUAUAUCGCUAGAUGAGAGUCCGCGAGUUCAUGAGAAUUCUCAGCUUCAGCAAGACUAUUCGAAGGAAGAUGAAAGCAAUUUUGAUGAACUGAACUAUGCGAUUGAGGAAGAAGAGGAAAGUGAUGGCGAGGGUGUCGUUGAAGACAUACUGGAUACAUGAUUUGGUAUUAUGGACAGCGACGUGCGUCAGGAAGUGCACAACGACAAUGAAUGGGUGAUUGACGAGGUCGAAGAUGCCGGGGAUGUUGAAUAGAGUCGCAAUACACUGCUUGAUGCGCAUCAUGCGAAUGCCCGAUCCCCUUCUGUAAUGACGAGAACUUCCCGCAAGAGAAGAAGCUGUUUGAUUUGCGAGGUUGUAAGGUCUUCCAAAAGGACUAGUUGAUCACACCUAAUUCACAGUGAGGUUUAUGACAACUGCUUCGGCGUCAAACGCGACUAUUAGUGAUAAAAACGAACAAACGUGACCGCAUAAACACGUAGUGAUUCUAGACCAAAUUGUUUGUUCCAGCUGUGAAGUCCAUGUGUAGAAAGUACCUAAAAGAUAUUUAGUCAUUCAUCUUUAAACUACACGACUUGCAUCAGGCCUGCUGGUUGCAGUGAGAGGUCUCUAGGUCAGAGAGCGAAGGAAGGCACAUAUGUUGUUGCAAAAUGCGUGUACACAUCUCCAACUGAUGAUUGUUGUG